UACAGAGGGUGCAAGCGUUGCUCGGAUUUACUGGGCGUAAAGCGUACGCAGACGGAUCGUCAAGUCAGGAGUGAAAGCCCUGGGCUCAACCCAGGAACGGCUUUUGAUACUAGCGGUCUUGAGUUUGGGAGAGGGAAGCGGAAUUCCUGGUGUAGAGAUGAAAUUCGUAGAUAUCAGGAGGAACACCGGCGGCGAAGGCGGCUUCCUGGCCCAAUACUGACGUUCAGGUACGAAAGCGUGGGUAGCAAACAGG
rnacentral:rRNA from 1 species